rnacentral:rRNA from 1 species
GGAGCUUGCUCCACCGGAAAAAGAGGAGUGGCGAACGGGUGAGUAACACGUGGGUAACCUGCCCAUCAGAAGGGGAUAACACUUGGAAACAGGUGCUAAUACCGUAUAACAAUCGAAACCGCAUGGUUUUGAUUUGAAAGGCGCUUUCGGGUGUCGCUGAUGGAUGGACCCGCGGUGCAUUAGCUAGUUGGUGAGGUAACGGCUCACCAAGGCCACGAUGCAUAGCCGACCUGAGAGGGUGAUCGGCCACAUUGGGACUGAGACACGGCCCAAACUCCUACGGGAGGCAGCAGUAGGGAAUCUUCGGCAAUGGACGAAAGUCUGACCGAGCAACGCCGCGUGAGUGAAGAAGGUUUUCGGAUCGUAAAACUCUGUUGUUAGAGAAGAACAAGGAUGAGAGUAACUGUUCAUCCCUUGACGGUAUCUAACCAGAAAGCCACGGCUAACUACGUGCCAGCAGCCGCGGUAAUACGUAGGUGGCAAGCGUUGUCCGGAUUUAUUGGGCGUAAAGCGAGCGCAGGCGGUUUCUUAAGUCUGAUGUGAAAGCCCCCGGCUCAACCGGGGAGGGUCAUUGGAAACUGGGAGACUUGAGUGCAGAAGAGGAGAGUGGAAUUCCAUGUGUAGCGGUGAAAUGCGUAGAUAUAUGGAGGAACACCAGUGGCGAAGGCGGCUCUCUGGUCUGUAACUGACGCUGAGGCUCGAAAGCGUGGGGAGCAAACAGGAUUAGAUACCCUGGUAGUCCACGCCGUAAACGAUGAGUGCUAAGUGUUGGAGGGUUUCCGCCCUUCAGUGCUGCAGCUAACGCAUUAAGCACUCCGCCUGGGGAGUACGACCGCAAGGUUGAAACUCAAAGGAAUUGACGGGGGCCCGCACAAGCGGUGGAGCAUGUGGUUUAAUUCGAAGCAACGCGAAGAACCUUACCAGGUCUUGACAUCCUUUGACCACUCUAGAGAUAGAGCUUCCCCUUCGGGGGCAAAGUGACAGGUGGUG